rnacentral:rRNA from 1 species
UACGUAGGGUGCGAGCGUUGUCCGGAAUUACUGGGCGUAAAGAGCUCGUAGGCGGUUUGUCGCGUCGUCCGUGAAAACUUGGGGCUCAACCCCAAGCUUGCGGGCGAUACGGGCAGACUUGAGUACUGCAGGGGAGACUGGAAUUCCUGGUGUAGCGGUGAAAUGCGCAGAUAUCGGGAGGAACACCAACGGCGAAGGCAGCACUCUGGGCUGGUACUGACGCUGAGGAGCGAAAGCGUGGGGAGCAAACAGG